rnacentral:rRNA from 1 species
CGCCUGUUUAUUCAAAAACAUGUCUUUUUGAUUAAUAUUUUAAAGUCUAAUCUGCUCACUGAAAAUAAAUUUAAAGAGCCGCAAUUAAUUGUGCAAAGGUAGCAUAAUCAUUAGUUUUUUAAUUGAAAACUAGAAUGAAUGAUUGAAUGAAAUAUAUACUGUUUCUUAAUUAUUAUAUAAAAUUUAUUUUUUUAAUAAAAAAAUUAAAAUAAAUUUAAAAGACGAGAAGACCCUAUAAAUCUUUAUAUUUUAUUAAUUUAAAUUAAAUUUAAUAUUUUUAAGUUAAUUAUAAUAUUUUAUUGGGGUGAUAAAAAAAUUUAAUAAACUUUUAUUUAUUUAUAAUCAUUGAUUAAUGAAUUAUAUUUAUUUAUGAACUAAAUUUAUAAAUUAAGAUUAAGAUACUUUAGGGAUAACAGCGUAAUUUUAAUUUUUAGUUCUUAUAAAAAUUAAAGAUUGCGACCUCGAUGUUGGAUUAAAAUUUAUAUUAAAUGUAGGUGUUUAAUUAUUAA